UACGUAGGGCGUAAGCGUUGUCCGGAAUUAUUGGGCGUAAAGAGCUCGUAGGCGGCUUGUCACGUCGGGUGUGAAAGCCCGGGGCUUAACCCCGGGUCUGCAUUCGAUACGGGCUAGCUAGAGUGUGGUAGGGGAGAUCGGAAUUCCUGGUGUAGCGGUGAAAUGCGCAGAUAUCAGGAGGAACACCGGUGGCGAAGGCGGAUCUCUGGGCCAUUACUGACGCUGAGGAGCGAAAGCGUGGGGAGCGAACAGG
rnacentral:rRNA from 1 species